UAUAAUGUUAAUUUGAGACAAAUUGAACGGUUAGAUCAAGAGUUAUGAUUUUGUAAAGUUCAAAAUAAAAAAAUUCUUCGAGGAAAAAAUAUAUUUUGAAGGGGUUUUGUUAUAUUUUGAGUUUUAUGCAAAAUAAGAGAGUUUUAGUAGGCUAAUACAAGAUUCAUAUAAAGAUUUAAGAUACACUCUCUAUAGCUAGAUACCCAAUGUAUUCCCAAAUAGCAAAUCAUGUCAUACGACAAUGUAGCCACGUAGCUCCUAGUUAGAUAGUAUAUAUAGAGACAAGACUGAAUGUCACGGCCAUAAUCA
rnacentral:lncRNA from 1 species